rnacentral:misc_RNA from 1 species
AUUCAAGAACACCAGCUUGUUCAGAUGUCGUGCUACCUUGAGACAUCUCAUUCGUUCCGGGUGUCACUGAAGGAAAAUGCAAUCCUAGGCCCCUAGUGAAACGAGCAAAUGAAGAAUUCCCAAAAGUUCCAGUCUCGGAAUCUGUUGGAGGUCGUGUUGGCUGUGGCAGUUUCAAACUUCUACUCUGAUAUGGUAUGCCUGAAGCAGGUGAUUCACCCACUUUACCGUCAUUACUAAUGGCAGUGUUUGCAGAAGGCUCAGCAUUGGAAGCUUUGGCAGGGCAAUCAUUAUUAGAAUCUUUGGCAGGGGAAUCAUUAUUAGAAGCU